GACGGGGCCGCACAAGCGGUGGAGUAUGUGGUUUAAUUCGAUGCAACGCGAAGACCUUACCUGGUCUUGACAUCCCGGAGACCCUUAGGAAACUAGGGGGUGCUUCCAUCUGGAAGAAUCUGGAGACAGGUGCUGCAUGGCUGUCGUCAGCUCGUGUCGUGAGAUGUUGGGUUAAGUCCCGCAACGAGCGCAACCCUUGCCUUUAGUUGCCAGCAGUUCGGCUGGGCACUCUAAAGGGACUGCCGGUGUUAAACCGGAGGAAGGUGGGGAUGACGUCAAGUCCUCAUGGCCUUUAUGACCAGGGCUACACACGUACUACAAUGGCCGAUACAAAGGGCAGCGACACUGCGAGGUGAAGCCAAUCCCGUAAAAUCGGUCUCAGUCCGGAUUGGAGUCUGCAACUCGACUCCAUGAAGUUGGAAUCGCUAGUAAUCGUGGAUCAGCAUGCCACGGUGAAUACGUUCCCGGGCCUU
rnacentral:rRNA from 1 species